AUGCAGCGCCGGCUCCCGGCACUCCUCCGCCGCGCGGCGGGCGCGGGGCCCGCGCGCCGGUGGCUCUCCGCCGCCUCCUCCCUCCUCUUCGACGACACCCAGGAGCAGUUCAAGGAGAGCGUGCACCGGUUCGCGCAGGAGCACAUCGCGCCGCACGCCGCCGCCAUCGACGCCUCCAACUACUUCCCCAAGGAGGUGAAUCUGUGGAAGCUCAUGGGGGACUUCAACCUGCACGGCCUCACCUCGCCAGAGGAGUACGGAGGGCUCGGGCUCGGUUACAUGUACCACUGCAUCGCCAUGGAGGAGAUCAGCAGGGCGUCCGGGUCAGUCGGCCUUUCCUACGGUGCACACUCAAAUCUGUGCAUCAACCAGCUGGUCCGUCACGGCAGCCCCGCCCAAAAGGAAAAGUAUUUGCCGAAGCUAAUCAGCGGGGAGCAUAUUGGGGCAUUGGCAAUGAGUGAACCAAACUCUGGCUCUGAUGUUGUCAGUAUGAAGUGCAAAGCUGAGAAAGUAGAUGGCGGCUAUGUCAUUAAUGGGAAUAAGAUGUGGUGCACAAAUGGUCCGUCAGCUCAAACACUGGUUGUUUACGCGAAAACAGAUAUAACUGCUGGAUCGAAAGGAAUAACUGCAUUCAUAAUUGAGAAGGGGAUGCCAGGUAUUUCUUACCAUUACAGGUUCAGUACUGCCCAGAAGUUAGACAAACUUGGCAUGCGAGGAAGUGACACAUGUGAGCUUGUCUUUGAGAACUGCUUUGUGCCUCAAGAGAAUGUUCUUGGUGAAGAAGGGAAAGGUGUUUAUGUCAUGAUGUCUGGUCUUGAUCUGGAAAGACUUGUAUUAGCUGGGGGUCCUAUUGGGCUCAUGCAGGCAUGCCUUGAUGUUGUUCUUCCUUAUGUUCGACAGAGGGAGCAAUUCGGCCGUCCGAUUGGUGAAUUUCAGUUCUUACAGGGGAAAAUGGCAGACAUGUACACCUCCUUGCAAUCAUCAAGAUCAUUUGUAUACUCAGUUGCUAGGGACUGUGAUAAUGGCAAAGUUGACCGCAAGGAUUGUGCAGGAGUGAUCCUCUUUGCUGCUGAAAGGGCAACACAAGUUGCACUUGAGGCAAUCCAGUGUCUUGGAGGCAAUGGAUACAUAAAUGAGUACCCAACUGGCCGUCUCCUGAGAGAUGCAAAACUGUUUGAGAUUGGAGCUGGUACUAGUGAGAUCAGAAGAAUGAUAAUUGGUCGUGAGCUGUUCAAAGAGGACUGA
rnacentral:rRNA from 1 species